rnacentral:rRNA from 1 species
UACGGAAGGCAGCAGUGGGGAAUAUUGCACAAUGGGCGCAAGCCUGAUGCAGCCAUGCCGCGUGUAUGAAGAAGGCCUUCGGGUUGUAAAGUACUUUCAGUCGUGAGGAAGGUGUUAAGGUUAAUAACCUUAGCAAUUGACGUUAGCGACAGAAGAAGCACCGGCUAACUCCGUGCCAGCAGCCGCGGUAAUACGGAGGGUGCGAGCGUUAAUCGGAAUUACUGGGCGUAAAGGGCACGCAGGCGGUUAAUUAAGUUGGAUGUGAAUCCCCGGGCUUAACCUGGGAAUGGCAUUCAAGACUGGUUAGCUAGAGUCUUGUAGAGGGGGUAGAAUUCCAUGUGUAGCGGUGAAAUGCGUAGAGAUGUGGAGGAAUACCGGUGGCGAAGGCGGCCCCUGGACAAAGGCUGACGCUCAUGUGCGAAAGCGUGGGGAGCAAACGAGGAUUAAUACC